rnacentral:rRNA from 1 species
AUUGAACGCUGGCGGCAGGCCUAACACAUGCAAGUCGAGCGAGCGGCGGACGGGUGAGUAAUGUAUGGGGACUGCCCGAUAGAGGGGGAUAACUACUGGAAACGGUAGCUAAUACCGCAUACUAUCGGAUAACCCAUAUGGGAUUAGCUAGUAGGUGAGGUAAUGUCUCACCUAGGCGACGAUCCCUAGCUGGUCUGAGAGGAUGAUCAGGCACACUGGAAAUGAGACACGGUCCAGACUACUACGGAGGCAGCAGUGGGGAAUAUUGCACAAUGGGCGAAAGCCUGAUGCAGCCAUGCCGCGUGUGUGAAGAAGGCCAUAGGGUUGUAAAGUACUUUCAGUCGGGAGGCGUUACCGACAGAAGAAGCACCGGCUAACUCCGUGCCAGCAGCCGCGGUAAUUC